GUGGGGAAUCUUGCGCAAUGGGCGAAAGCCUGACGCAGCCAUGCCGCGUGAAUGAUGAAGGUCUUAGGAUUGUAAAAUUCUUUCACCGGGGACGAUAAUGACGGUACCCGGAGAAGAAGCUCCGGCUAACUUCGUGCCAGCAGCCGCGGUAAUACGAAGGGGGCUAGCGUUGCUCGGAAUUACUGGGCGUAAAGGGCGCGUAGGCGGACAGCUUAGUCAGAGGUGAAAGCCCAGGGCUCAACCUUGGAAUUGCCUUUGAUACUGGCUGUCUUGAGUUUGGGAGAGGUGAGUGGAACUCCGAGUGUAGAGGUGAAAUUCGUAGAUAUUCGGAGGAACACCAGUGGCGAAGGCGGCUCACUGGCUCGAUACUGACGCUGAGGUGCGAAAGCGUGGGGAGCAAACAGGAUUAGAUACCCGUGUAGUCC
rnacentral:rRNA from 1 species